AAGUGUUUCACGCUCCAAGUGUUAGCCCAGAACAUGUGGGGGUGUGUUAAGUAUCUCACUUCAGUAAAGCAUGUGGGUAAUGUGGACUUAGUCAAUCCUCCCCCUUGAGCUAGUUUUCGGAGAUGAGUUACGCUCGGUCUAUUUUCUUAUCAACUAGGAUCAAGGUAGUUUACAUAAUGGGGUGUUAAUUAACAUACCAAAUUUUCAAUGAUCCAUAAUCCAAAUCAUCAAAUUUAUAAAGCAAACCAGUUGUAAUAGUUUUCGAUAACAUUGGCUGAAAAAGGGAAAGCAGAAGAGAAAAGGGGGCAGGGUGCCAAGAUUACCUUCAACUUUUGUAGAUAUACAU
rnacentral:misc_RNA from 1 species